rnacentral:rRNA from 1 species
GACGAACGCUGGCGGCGUGCCUAACACAUGUAAGUCGCACGGGACCGGGGGCAACUCCGGUUCAGUGGCAGACGGGUGCGUAACACGUGAGGAACCUGUCCGACGGCGGGGGAUAGCCGGCCCAACGGCCGGGUAAUACCGCAUACGAUCGUUUGGGGGCAUCCCCGAGCGAUGAAAGCAGCCGCAAGGUUGCGCCGAUGGAGGGUCUCGCGGCCUAUCAGCUAGUUGGCGGGGUAACGCCCACCAAGGCGACGACGGGUAGCUGGUCUGAGAGGAUGGCCAGCCACAUUGGGACUGAGACACGGCCCAGACCCCUACGGGAGGCAGCAGUGGGGAAUCUUGCGCAAUGGCCGCAAGGCUGACGCAGCGACGCCGCGUGUGGGAUGACGGCCU